rnacentral:rRNA from 1 species
UAGGGAAUCUUCGGCAAUGGACGAAAGUCUGACCGAGCAACGCCGCGUGAGUGAAGAAGGUUUUCGGAUCGUAAAACUCUGUUGUUAGAGAAGAACAAGGACGUUAGUAACUGAACGUCCCCUGACGGUAUCUAACCAGAAAGCCACGGCUAACUACGUGCCAGCAGCCGCGGUAAUACGUAGGUGGCAAGCGUUGUCCGGAUUUAUUGGGCGUAAAGCGAGCGCAGGCGGUUUCUUAAGUCUGAUGUGAAAGCCCCCGGCUCAACCGGGGAGGGUCAUUGGAAACUGGUAGACUUGAGUGCAGAAGAGGAGAGUGGAAUUCCAUGUGUAGCGGUGAAAUGCGUAGAUAAAUGGAGGAACACCAGAGGCGAAGGCGGCUCUCUGGUCUGUAACUGACGAUGAGGCUCGAAAGCGUGGGGAGCAAACAGG